rfam:Triticum aestivum genome assembly, contig: Triticum_aestivum_CS42_TGACv1_scaffold_499678_6BL
CCUAUACUCCCUCCAUUCUGAAUUACUUGUUGCACCUAUGGAUAUAUCUAGAUGUAUUUUAGUUCUAGAUACAUUCAUUUCAGCGACAAGUAAUUUGAAACGGAGGGAGUACUAC